rnacentral:rRNA from 1 species
CCUACGGGUGGCAGCAGUGGGGAAUAUUGGACAAUGGGCGAAAGCCUGAUCCAGCCAUGCCGCGUGUGUGAAGAAGGCCUUCGGGUUGUAAAGCACUUUCAGUGGGGAAGAAAGCCUUGGGGCUAAUACCCUCGAGGAAGGACAUCACCCACAGAAGAAGCACCGGCUAACUCCGUGCCAGCAGCCGCGGUAAUACGGAGGGUGCGAGCGUUAAUCGGAAUUACUGGGCGUAAAGCGCGCGUAGGCGGUCUGAUAAGCCGGUUGUGAAAGCCCCGGGCUCAACCUGGGAACGGCAUCCGGAAACGUUCGGCUUGGGUGCAAGAGGGGAGGGUAGAAUUCCCCGUGUAGCGGUGAAAUGCGUAGAGAUCGGGAGGAAUACCCGGGGCGAAGGCGGCCCUCUGGACUGGCCCUGACGCUGAGGUGCGAAAGCGUGGGUAGCAAACAGGAUUAGAUACCCCAGUAGUC